rnacentral:lncRNA from 1 species
AAGGGGGCAUGGUUUAGUGAUGGGACACAGUAGCUCGGGUUGAUGGUUGGACUAGAUUUGGGAGGCCUUUCUCCAGCCAAGCUGAUUCUAUGUUUUCCUAAGAAAAUGGAGGAUAUCCUUGUGCUGGGAGAUCAGAUUUGCUAGGGAUGGAAAUAAAAGGCAUACUUCGCAGGCAUACUGUGUGCUAGGACACGCCAUGCUUGUCAAAAUGUAGCUGUUGUGUACUCAGGUCUCUCAACUGGUUCUACAUGAAAUAAUCUUUUAUUGAUUUCAUAGGGUAAUGGACCUCUAAGAAAAGCACCUUGAUCCUGUUCCAUCUAUCACUGCAUACCAGAAUGCCACACACUGACAUCCCAAUGCAGACUGAAAUUACUGGGGCCACUCUUGUAAACUGCAACGUCUAUCAGCAGCUGGAACCUAGGAGUCAUGACUGGCACAGAGGGUUGAUCGUUGUACAAUCCAUUGCUACUCGAAGGUGCACAAUCUCUAUGCUACUACUUCUCUGGCCCAGUCUGAAGAUUUCUUGGACCUCUGAGAUUCCCAAAAGACACUGUUUCCUGGAAAAUGUUUGUGGGGGAGCUCGUUUUGAGUGUCUGUGUGGCCUUAGGGAGAAGGAGCAGAACAUGUUAUUAUAUGAACAAACAACCCCAAACUACUGUUUCCCUGUCACUCGGAGGCUGGGAAACUCACUAAUGAGUAAAGCAACAUAUAUUGGCAAAAGCAACUUGCCAGACUUAUGGAGACUGUUUAAGUGUUGGCUUGGGGAUCUGAUUUUCUAA